rnacentral:rRNA from 1 species
UACCAGCACCCCGAGUGGUCGGGACGAUUAUUGGGCCUAAAGCAUCCGUAGCCGGUCCUGCAAGUCUUCCGUUAAAUCCAGCUGCUCAACAGAUGGGCUGCGGGAGAUACUACAGGGCUAGGAGGCGGGAGAGGCAAGCGGUACUUUAUGGGUAGGGGUAAAAUCCGCUGAUCCAUAGAAGACCACCAGUGGCGAAGGCGGCUUGCCAGAACGCGCUCGACGGUGAGGGAUGAAAGCUGGGGGAGCAAAGCCGG